ACCCCCAAGGGCUCCACAGCAGUGACAAAAAUUAAGCAAAUAAGCGUAAGCUUGACUUAGCCAUAGCAAAGAGGGUUGGUCAAUCUUGUGCCAGCCACCGCGGUUAUACAAGAAACCCAAACCAACAGAAAAUCGGCGUAAAAUGUGACUAAAACAAUUAUCCAAAAAAUUAAGGAAAACCAUACACUUAACUGUCAUACGUAAAAGUAUAUGAUCAUUCCAAUAUGAAAAUAACCUUAAUAGUAGCAGAACCAUUCGAAUUCACGAUAGCUAAGGUACAAACUGGGAUUAGAUACCCCACUAUGCUUAGCCAUAAACCCAGAUAUUUAACACACAAAAAUAUUCGCCAGAGAACUACGAGCAAAACGCUUAAAACUCUAAGGACUUGGCGGUGCCUAAAACCCCCCUAGAGGAGCCUGUUCUAUAAUCGAUAAUCCACGAUCCACCCAACCAUCUCUUGCCAAUACCGCCUAUAUACCGCCGUCACUAGCUUACCCUGUGAAGGACAUAAAAGUAAGCAAAAUAACUAAUAACAACUAAUAACAGCUAAUAAGUCAGGUCAAGGUGUAGCUAACUGAGAUGGAAGAAAUGGGCUACAUUUUCUAAACUAGAAAUUAUCUAACGAAAAGAACUAUGAAACGAGUCCCACAAGCAGGAUUUAGCAGUAAACAGGGAUCAAAAUGCCCAAUUUAAGCCGGUCCUAAGGCACGCACACA
rnacentral:rRNA from 1 species